GACGAACGCUGGCGGCGUGCUUAACACAUGCAAGUCGAACGGAAAGGCCCUGCUUUUGUGGGGUGCUCGAGUGGCGAACGGGUGAGUAACACGUGAGUAACCUGCCCUUGACUUUGGGAUAACUUCAGGAAACUGGGGCUAAUACCGGAUAGGAGCUCCUGCUGCAUGGUGGGGGUUGGAAAGUUUCGGCGGUUGGGGAUGGACUCGCGGCUUAUCAGCUUGUUGGUGGGGUAGUGGCUUACCAAGGCUUUGACGGGUAGCCGGCCUGAGAGGGUGACCGGCCACAUUGGGACUGAGAUACGGCCCAGACUCCUACGGGAGGCAGCAGUGGGAAAUAUUGCACAAUGGGCGGAAGCCUGAUGCAGCAACGCCGCGUGCGGGAUGACGGCCUUCGGGUUGUAAACCGCUUUCGCCUGUGACGAAGCGUGAGUGACGGUAGUGGGUAAAGAAGCACCGGCUAACUACGUG
rnacentral:rRNA from 1 species